AUGUAACAGGAGGCCACUGGGUGCUAUAAACAGUUUCGUAUAAAAAACUAGGGGUUAUUCCCUGACUAAAAAUAACCAUGGAGGGAAACCCCUGUUUAUUAACUCAAUUGGUGCAAAAGUAUCAUGUUUUUUGUGUUUGAUUGUAAAAAUUAGUUAAUUAGCUUUCAAUUAAAACAGGUUGAAUGAUUGAAAUAUUUUUAAAAAUUAAAUUAACUUUACAUGUUUUGAGGGGAGACAACUUUGUAAACAUCCUGUUUUUUUGGCAGUGAAAAUUGAAAACUUAUUUGCAGCCACUGUAGCUCUUUUCGGAGCAGGAAACCGUACCCUGAAACAAGAUUUUUUAGAAAGGCCAGGUAAAAACCUACAAAUUUCAUGCAGUUUUGAUUAUGAAAAAUGUGCAUGGAUCAUGUCUUCAUGUCUGUGCACAUGACCUGGUUUCAAGUUUUUUCUGUCAAAAUUAGAGCUUUUUUUCCCCAUGUUCAUUGGAUGGAAUGUUUUUAAUAUAUUAAAAGUACACAUUAUUUUUAUUUCAUUAUAAACUAGAGAACAUUCUGAUUCCAGUGAUAUCAAGUUUUAUACAAGUAUCUUUAUUAAUCAGUCCACCACUAAGGGUCACUUAUGCAUGGUCCCUAAAAAUGUGACGUCAUAGAAAAAAACUGUUGAUUGCACCCUUAAAGGGACAAAUAUAUAUUAUAGUGAUGUUUUAGCAUAGAAAAGUGCAUGCGAAUGGAGUAAAAUAAUUCUGAAAAAUAUUGUACGGUAUGUAUACUGUAAUUUAAAAGCAUUAGUUUGGUAUAUUUAAUGCAAAUAUUACAGAUUUGUACAUAGCAACCAGAAAUAAGAAAACCAGACUCUGCGCG
rnacentral:lncRNA from 1 species